UACAGAGGCCCCGAGCGUUAGUCGGAAUUACUGGGCUUAAAGGGUGCGUAGGCGGGCGUGUAAGUGUUCCGUGAAAGCCCCGGGCUCAACCCGGGAACCGCGGGGCAUACUGCACGUCUUGAGGUAGCUAGAGGCCGGUGGAACGAUCGGUGGAGCGGUGGAAUGCGUAGAGAUCGAUCGGAACGACAAGGGUGAAGACAACCGGCUGGGGCUUACCUGACGCUGAGGCACGAAAGCGUGGGGAUCAAACAGG
rnacentral:rRNA from 1 species